rnacentral:rRNA from 1 species
GACGAACCGUGCAAACGUUAUUCGGAAUCACUGGGCUUAAAGGGCGCGUAGGCGGGCUCCCAAGUCGGUGGUGAAAUCUUUCGGCCCAACCGGAAAAGUGCCGCCGAUACUGGGAGUCUCGAGGGAGGUAGGGGUCGAGGGAACUUCCGGUGGAGCGGUGAAAUGCGUAGAUAUCGGAAGGAACGCCGGUGGCGAAAGCGCUCGACUGGACCUCUUCUGACGCUGAGGCGCGAAAGCCAGGGGAGCAAACGGG